UACGUAGGGUGCAAGCGUUAAUCGGAAUUACUGGGCGUGAAGCGUGCGCAGGCGGUUGUGCAAGACAGAUGUGAAAUCCCUGGGCUUAACCUGGGAAUUGCAUUUGUGACUGCACGGCUAGAGUGUGUCAGAGGGGGGUAGAAUUCCACGUGUAGCAGUGAAAUGCGUAGAUAUGUGGAGGAAUACCGAUGGCGAAGGCAGCCCCCUGGGAUAACACUGACGCUCAUGCACGAAAGCGUGGGGAGCAAACAGG
rnacentral:rRNA from 1 species